AUGGAUGCUCGUCUCGGGGACUAAGCCAUGCAUGCCCGCGACGCAAGGAGCGGCGAACGGCUCAGCAGUGCUGCGGUGAUCUGCCCCGCGCGCGCAGUAACCGCGGGAAACUGCGGCUAAGAGCGCGGGUUGAGGCGCAGCCCCAUCAGCUAGUUGGUGGUGUAAUGGACCACCAAGGCGGCGACGGGUGCGGGGGAUCGGGGUCCGACUCCGGAGAGGGAGCCUGAGAGAUGGCUCCCACGUCCAAGGACGGCAGCAGGCGCGGAAAUUGCCCACUCUCGCGCGAGGAGGCAGUUACGAGGCGUGGCGAAGGACGCACGGCAAAGGUGUGUGUGAAGGCGAUUGGAGGGCAAGUUCGGUGCCAGCAGCCGGGG
rnacentral:rRNA from 1 species